rnacentral:rRNA from 1 species
UCCAGACUCCUACGGGAGGCAGCAGUGAGGAAUAUUGGUCGAUGGGCGAGAGCCUGAACCAGCCAAGUCGCGUGAGGGAGUACUGCCCUAUGGGUUGUAAACCUCUUUUGUCGGGGAGCAAAAGCCGGACGUGUCCGGCUGUGAGAGUACCCGAAGAAAAAGCAUCGGCUAACUCCGUGCCAGCAGCCGCGGUAAUACGGAGGAUGCGAGCGUUAUCCGGAUUUAUUGGGUUUAAAGGGUGCGUAGGCGGUAUUUUAAGUUAGUGGUAAAACGUCGGGGCUUCACCUUGAUUGGCCAUUAAAACUGGAGUACUAGAGUACAGACGAGGUAGGCGGAAUAAGUUAAGUAGCGGUGAAAUGCUUAGAUAUAACUUAGAACCCCGAUAGCGAAGGCAGCUUACCAGACUGUUACUGACGCUGAAGCACGAGAGCGUGGGUAGCGAACAGGAUUAGAUACCCGAGUA